UCCAAAGCCACACUUCUUGCAUAACCAGAAAGGAAUGAACCAACCUGCCAAGUCUUUCUGCACAAAACAGCCGCGACACGAGUGUGGUGAUUGUUAUAAAAGCAAGGCAAAAGAAACAAGCUUUGGAGAAGGACAAGAAUUUGAAGAGGCAAACGCCGCUCGGAGUGCUUUUGUCUUGCUGUUGUUGCUCAGGUACAGACCUAACACCUGGACCCUGCUGUGUCUGCCCCUGGCUAUGUCUUCAAGGGGAAGUGCGAGGCUCAUUAGCUUGUUUUCCAACCUCAGAAGUGCUCAAUAUGCUCCCACACCACGUAACCAUCCAGCACUGCGCCUGUCCAGUCAGCAAGACAUCCUACUCCUACAGUGUGCUCUACUUAAUCCAACCAAUCAAUACUGACAACGCUGAGAAUCAGGAAAGAAAUGUCGGGUAAUUAACUCUGAACACCUUCUAAUUACUACUACAUGAAAAGCACCCUUUCCUCCCAUCCUUGACAUGUUAGGCUGGUUUCUGUUUUGUUCCAAGACUUCACAGAACAAACUGGGACUUUGCAAGACCAGGCCUGGAGGGGAGUUUGGUACCACACUGAGACUGGCAGGGAAGGGGGACCCUGAAGGUAAAUUUGGCACUGAAAAAUGCUGAGUUUGCACAUCCCUAUAUUCUCUUUAGGAACAAGUCCUAUUGCCAUCACAGCUUUUUACAAGGAGGCAUUGGCAUAACCCAAGGGUUUUCACUAGUUCAGAAUGCCAGCAGAGACUUGGGAGAAGCAAAUCUGCUUUGGAAUUUUCCAGAAUUUGAGGCACAAAGCUCAUGGAAUGUUUUAUUUAUCUGGUAAAAUGGUGCACAAGGAUUUUUAGUGGCUUUCCUUUUUCCUCUGUAAAAUAAACAUCUUUAGUAAAGAAGUCCAGGUCCAAACAGGAUCGAGGAAAGUUACAAAGUACAGCUGGGCUGAUUUUAUAAUAAAACAGCAGAAAAUCCAAUCACAAAAAGUAGGUGGAAGAUGACAUCUGCAAGAGAAACACAGGCUACAUGUGAGUACUUCCCUGUCAGCUCCCUUUCACCUUCUCUUCCCACCCUGUUCAAUAAAACUGCAGGCCCUAAUGUGGCUCUGUCAACAUAUCAAAUGUUAACAAAUAGAUUUUGAAAGGUGUGUUUCAAAGCCUUUCCAAUCAGAAAUGCUUUCAGACAUCCCUGUUAACCCAGUAAAACAUGAUUGUUCCUUUUUGGGAAGGGAGUGUGACAAUUAGAGAAAAAAGAUUGUUCUGUAUUGGAAGUAAUUGCUAUGAUUUUAUUGUCUGGUGUGAGUGAUAUACCAAAAGAAGGAAAACAAAGUAUAUUACACCAGGAAAUAAAAUCUGAUUUUGAAAUAUUCACUCUUCUGUCAAAUUUACUGGUAUUUCAGCUUUUUUCUUUGAGCUAUGGAUUUUAUGUCGACAAAGACACUCAAAAUGCAUAUUUGGAAUUGAUACUUUCAUUGUAAAACUUUGCUGUUUACCUGAGAGUGUGUAAAAUCUGGAUAAACCUUUGCCUGUAUAAAAGAGGAAGAAAAUAAUUACAUCAGGAUGAUGAUUAAAAUAGGGCAAAGUGCACCAGUGUGCUUUGUAAAAGAACAGGAAACAUUUGUCACAUUUUGAAAUUCUGAAGAUUUCUUCCUCUUGGAUUUACUGUUUUGAAGUUAAAAAAGAAUCCUCAGUUCUUUUACCUUCUAAUAUCGAUGGGGGUUUUCUGGUGCGACAUAAUGGAUUGUAAUAAUUUUACUGUGUCUGUAUUUGUAAUUUUAAAUUUGCUUUCAGAUUGGUGCAGUUGAUAAACUAGUAUAAAGGGCUCCAGUGAAAACAUUGUUUGUUCCAAGGACUUGUUUCAAAAGAUGAACCAGCUCAGAGAGAAAUCCCUGGUGCCUGCAGGAGGCAGCAGUUGGAGGGAGCAGUUGUUGUGCAGUGGGGAAGGCCGAUGGCAGUGCCAUCGGUGUGUCAGGAGGGAUAGGCACAAAUCAUCCCUGCAACACAUGAAGGUGUUGUGGAUAUGCUGAAGCACGGACCCACAGUGUAAAGAAAAACUCUCCUGCUGCUCCUGACCUCUCUCCCACUCCCGUGCAGCUCAGAGCAUGUCUGAGCUGCUGCUGAGGUCACAGGCAGGUGAGCAGAGCUUUCACUGCCAGCUCUGUGUGCCAGUGGUUUGGCCAUUUAUCAUAAAUGCCAAAGGGGUGCCUUGACUCACUUGGCAAGAGAAGAGAAUGUCACUGAGAUCUCCUGCCAGAGUUGGAGGGGACCAACUUCUGUUCAAGACUUCUGCUGCCCCGGGGGACAGGGGUCUGGCAGAGGGCUGUGGCUCUCUCUGCUCGCUCCUGUCUGCCAGUUUCAUGGCUUCCCAAAGGAGACGCACCCCAGGAGCCCUGGCACUUACUGCGCACGGUGAUCUCCGCCACCAGAACGCCUCCGGUUUGUUCCGCGCGCUGCCCUCGCUUGUCACAUAUCUCAAGAGAGCAGAGAGAAAACCAAAACAAUUAAAAAUUAUUUUAAAACCC